CAGUCGCCGCGGGAAUACGAAGGGUGCAAGCGUUACUCGGAAUUACUGGGCGUAAAGCGUGCGUAGGUGGUGGUUUAAGUCCGUUGUGAAAGCCCUGGGCUCAACCUGGGAAUUGCAGUGGAUACUGGGUCACUAGAGUGUGGUAGGGGAUAGUGGAAUUUCCGGUGUAGCAGUGAAAUGCGUAGAGAUCGGAAGGAACAUCUGUGGCGAAGGCGACUAUCUGGGCCAACACUGACACUGAGGCACGAAAGCGUGGGGAGCAAACAGGAUUAGAUACCCCCGUAGUCCCUGUCUCUUAUAC
rnacentral:rRNA from 1 species